AACGACCGGUCGGAAACGCACGCCCACGGCAGCGAAUCCGGCCCACAAGUGGAGGCUCCGAACUCCCACCUGGCCGUCCUCAGGACGGCGGGUCACCGGUCAGGCGGUCCCGUCCCACGGCGGCGACCAGCCCGAGAUCGCGCCCCGCGGCCAUCGCGGCGGUGCUCCGGUAGUAGUCCAAGGAGCCCCGCCUGUGAUCGUCCGGGGCAUUUUUG
rnacentral:ncRNA from 1 species